UAAAAAAAAAUCUGGGUUGCUCCACUCUUCCCGUAGAAAACUUGUUCGAGCCCUAUCAGUUCGAAGCAGCAGGGUAGGAUAGGGCGGAGCCGCCGGUGACCCCGGCGGUGGCGGUGGCAGCAGCAGAGGGGGGCCGCGAGGAUGGCCGCUGGGACGAGGAGGCGGAGCCGAUGACCCCGGCGGUGGCGGCGGCAGAGGGGGUCGGCGAUGAUGGCCGAUGGUACGAGGAGGCGGAGCCGAUGACCCCGGCGGCGGCAGCGGAGGGGUCCCAGGGGCUCUAGGACCGAUGUCUGAUGCAGCCGUGGUUCCUCGCUGUCAAGAGCUAGAUCGAGCGCACGGCCUUUUGGAAAAUUGGACGAAUGGGCGUCCAAGAGGCACUCCUUGCCGGAUCACGCUGCUGCUGGCGUAAUCUAGGCCGGAUCUGUGGAGAGCCCGGCGCAGCACCGUCUACAGGUAUUUGGCAAUGUUGGCUCUUGGGCUGCCCAAUUGAUAACUGAAGCUGGUGGCAAGGUGGUCUCCAUCAGAGAUGUCACAGGGGCUGUCAAGAACUCCAAUGGCGUUGACAUAGCCAAGCUGAUGAAGCACUCGGCAAAGAACCGCGGGAUCAAGGGCUCCGACAAAAGGCGACGCCGUCGACCCGACCUCACUGCUCACGGAAGAGUGCGACGUGCUCAUCCCGGCAGCUCUGGCAGGAGUCAUAAACAAGGACAAUGUUGAUGCCAUCAAAGCAAAGUACAUCAUCGAAGCUGCUAACCACCCAACAGACCCCAAGGCCGAAGAGGCAA